AGUGAACGCUGGCGGUAGGCCUAACACAUGCAAGUCGAACGGCAGCACAGUAAGAGCUUGCUCUUACGGGUGGCGAGUGGCGGACGGGUGAGGAAUAUAUCGGAAUCUACUUUUUCGUGGGGGAUAACGUAGGGAAACUUACGCUAAUACCGCAUACGACCUACGGGUGAAAGCAGGGGAUCUUCGGACCUUGCGCGGAUGAAUGCGCGGAUGUUGGGUUGGCUAGUUGGCGGGGUAAAGGCCAACCAAGGGGGCGAUCGGUUGCUGGUGUGGGUGGAUGGUAGGCCACACUGGAACGUGGACACGCUCCAGACUCCUACGAGAGGCAGCAGUGGGGAAUAUUGGGCAAUGGGCGCAAGCCUUAUCCAGCCAUACCGCGUGGGUUAAGAAGGCCUUCGGGUUGUAAAGCCCUUUUGUGGGGAAAGAAAAGCAGCAGGUUAAUACCCCGCUGUUCUGACGGUACCCAAAGAAUAAGCACCGGCUAACUUCGUG
rnacentral:rRNA from 1 species